UUCUGCUUCUCCUUUUGAGACCCUUGAGGAUAUUGCAUACCUAAUGUUUAUAGGACUUAAAGUUAGACAUUUGUCACAGAAAAGUGCAAAAAGACAAUAUAGAUAAACUUGGUGGAUUCUAAUGAAUGAGCGUUCCUCUCACAUAAUUGCAGAAACCACAACUCUAAACUGAGUGCAGCACCCUUCAAAGGGAACUUAAUUUCAUACCAUGAGUGGUGUAACAUAGCUUGCUGUUUGGUACUUAAUAACAACUUCAAUUUAGGGGUAAUGGUUUUACAUUUAAAGUCCCAUUAAAAAGAUAAACACCUUUAAACUGACCACUCAGAUCACUUAACAGUGGUGUCUGAUCAGUAGAAAGACUAUGCAUUUUAUCCCCUUUCUUUUGGGUUUUUGAGGCCCUCUGUCUGGUAGUAAGCUUUAACAAAUUGUCUGUGUGAGACCUUAAGGCUACUCAUGAAAUUCAGGAAGACUCAGAGCUACUUACUUAUAUAGAUAAAAUUGCAUCAGAUGACCUGCGAGAAACAGGUACCAUUGCAAAUUCAAGUUACUGUUAAGAUUCCUGUCAGCAAUUUCAGCCCUUUCUUGCAAAAGCAACCAAAUAAAGUAUUACUCAAACAUCUGUCAACAGAGACUUGAGGGUCUAACCUUCAGCUAAACUAGAAACCCGUAAUGAAGGACAGCUGGUCCAAACUGCUUCUGCUUACAUGAGGCUUCAGCACUUCUUUGAUGUAUAGCUUGGAAACAAAAGCAUAGAUUCAUCACCCUUGGCCAAAGAAUUCCUGUUCAGGAAAGGCAUUUUAUGGGGAAUUAACUUGACUCCCGGCCACUAUGCGCUUGGAUGUCAGGUGCAUACCAGGUGCUUUCCUGACUUGGGACCUCUAUCAACAGAUAAAUACAGAGGAAAACAGUUGUCUUUUGAACAUAUGCUCACCUGCUUCAAUGGAUCCAAAGCUAGUAAUAAAAGCACCCCUAAAUAUAUAACAGAUGCAGAAGUGAAUAUAAGUGGAAACAGUUGAAUAAGGGAAGCAGACCCAGAGCUGUCAUCAAGGUCUUCACAGUCACUAGAUUUUUUUUCACCUGCUCGUGCAGUUCUUGCUCAAGAUCUGUUGGCAGUGACUAUGUAUUUCAUCUCUCACCAUUUUUUUUUUUUUCUCCUCAACCUCACAGGGUUUUCCUGAGAGUUUGUGGCUAUAUUAGGUUCAUCUUUAAAUCCUACUAAAUGUGCUAAACAGCGUAAAAUGGUUGCCAUUAAAAAGGCAAAUUUUUAUGCUGCCAAUACUAAUCUAGGGCCUCCUUCUAAAGUUUGUUCCUGGAGGCUCUCUGGAAAUCUUCCAGCUUGUGAGAAUCUGGUGUGGAAGGGUGCAUGUCAGCUUGGUGUAUGGAGAACUGAAGAACUAGGAGUUCAUGGGUUUGUUUUCCUAUAUAAACAAAAUGCAUUUUGUAAAGAAAGGUGGAAAUACCAGUUGGCAAACGUAUUUUAUGCAGUGCUUUGAAUCUGAGGUGUGGUACAUACAGAAUCAAUUAAAAAUAUCAUGACCCUGUGUCAUUGUGGCUUAAGAGCAAAAGAAAAGAAUUCACAUUUGUCUUUCUUCACAAAUGUGUUUAAAAGCAAUUGAUGCUUGCUGUUCUCUGACUCAUUCCGCAUAGGAGAGUUGUGUUUACAGAGAUUUUUCUAGAUGUGUGAAGAAACUUCUGGGCAAGAUGGCUUUAAGCAGGGUGCAGAGAAGUUUUGAUUUUGUUACAAAAAUAAGGAUUCCAGAUAUUAUGAUAUCUGGAUUAUUAUUUUAUAUGCAUUCCUUUCCUUUCAGAAGUGUUCUUAGAUCCCGCUGAAUACACCAGGCCUUGU